rnacentral:rRNA from 1 species
GACGAACGCUGGCGGCGUGCUUAACACAUGCAAGUCGAACGGAAAGGCCCUGCUUUUGUGGGGUGCUCGAGUGGCGAACGGGUGAGUAACACGUGAGUAACCUGCCCUUGACUUUGGGAUAACUUCAGGAAACUGGGGCUAAUACCGGAUAGGAGCUCCUGCUGCAUGGUGGGGGUUGGAAAGUUUCGGCGGCUGGGGAUGGACUCGCGGCUUAUCAGCUUGUUGGUGGGGUAGUGGCUUACCAAGGCUUUGACGGGUAGCCGGCCUGAGAGGGUGACCGGCCACAUUGGGACUGAGAUACGGCCCAGACUCCUACGGAGGCAGCAGUGGGGAAUAUUGCACAAUGGGCGGAAGCCUGAUGCAGCAACGCCGCGUGCGGGAUGACGGCCUUCGGGUGGUAAACCGCUUUCGCCUGUGACGAAGCGUGAGUGACGGUAAUGGGGAAAGAAGCACCGGCUAACUACGU